ACCUGACAGGUGGACUUGUCCUAGUGCAGCUGGAACACACUCACGGCUCCCAGGUCAGUGCAGUCAGAUGAAGAUGAGAGAGUAGAGCCACAGCACUGGAUAGAGAUGGACAAUCACUUCUCUCUCAGCCAUACCCUCUUCAAGAUCGCACCCGCCUUCCUGUCCUUUCUGUGUGGCAGAGGUGACUGUGCUCUGAAGAUGAGAGCCGCUAUCCAGAAGUGAGUUCCAGGUGCGUGCUUGUGGAUAGGUCUGGGAUAUGGAAAGACACUGGAGCUGGAAGAUGCGGAUGGGAAGAAAAGAUAGGAUGCUGACCCUCCUAAAGGGGCUUGCUCACCUGUGAGGAUACCUGCACUGCAAGAUAAAGUAAAAUUCCAGAUGGAAACCAGAGACAGCCUGUUUUGAUGAUGUAGCCUUUGCUGGCAAUCCAGAAGCACGAACACGUGGGGAGAGCUGCUGUUAGAAAGUCUCCCUUGAAAUGCAAAUGAUGGCUGAUGAUACAAGUUCUGAAGUGCAAGGAGAAUGCAUCUGAUGGAGAUGCAUGGAGAGGUAAAGAGAAGAAGAAGGAAGAAGAGGGAGGGUGAACAUGAAAGCACUCCUUUGUAAAUGUAUUUUCUUAGCAGUUUGGAAGACAAAAUUAGACCACAGUAUCAUUAAAAACCAAGACAAACAGCUGUAAACCUUCUAACAAGUUGAAAUCAUGAGACUGUAUUUGCAAUUUGAGAAUGAGGAUAUGAUGAAUACUAUUAUCAAAUGCCACAUAACCCUGGCCAAGAUGUGAAAAAUCUGUUAAAAAGGGUUUAGACUUUGUAUAUAGCUUUCCCUUCCUUUUUUUUUUUUGUUUUAAGAAAAAAAACUCUCUCUGAUUUAUCUUUCUUCAAAGAUAAAUACACUCACAGAAGGUGUAUAAAAACAAAUGUAACUGAACUGAACACACACACACACACACACACACACACACACACACACACACUUACCUGCCUCAGCAAAACAUAGGAAAUCCUACAAACCAGUAAUUCUAUCUUCCUUAGUUGAAAGGGAGCAUUACCAAACAGAAAGGGGAAAAAAAAAAAGUCCCACCAUGAGACGCUAUCCCUAAAUAGCUUCUUCCAGGUCUAGAACUUCUCACCUCUAUCUCAGUGUUUCCAUAAGUCUUCAGACAGGUGGGGGGGGGGAGGGGAUAUGCCUCUCUGCAUUUCUUAGUUGGAGGGGUUAUCACUUCUAUUCACAGCUGAGAGGUGGAAAGGGCUUGAAACUGCUGCAGAGAAUGUUGAAAAUUUAAAUGUUUAGAAAAUAUAGCUAUGGCUCUUAAAGGAGUAAGCUCUUUGCAUAUAUGUGCUGUACAUAUGCCAUGUAUGUCAUAUGUGCUGUAGUUAUAUGCUGUGUUAUAUGACAAACAUGUAAAUAAGUUUUGUAUAAACCACAACCUUAAAUUUCUUUUUCAGUGCGUAUUCAUCAAUUCUGUUUAGAGGCUAAGAAAUAACACUUUCUUUUCCAUGUAGGUGUCUAUGGUUUUGUUGCCAUAUUUGAAUUUGGCAUGAUAUGAGUUUAAAACACCACAUAGAAAAAGGAAUAGCAAGCAUUGACUUCCAUGGUUUUCUCUGGAUCACUGGCUGUGGGGCACAGACAACCUCUCAAGGGUGCUGAUGAGCUGUGUUCAUCCAGCCACAGAACUCACAAGAAUCUCAUUUCAACACUCAAGAUGUUCAGCUAUGUUCAACAGCCUGUCGCUGGCAAAGCUAAUGGUUACUGGCAAAUGUAGAUUCAUUAGCACUUUAUUCUAAGCCCAAGUCACUAUCCACUGUCAUGUUAUAAAAGAUUUAGGAUCUUGGUGAAGGGGCUACUGCCAGUACACAUGACAAAAUUAUGUCCUAAUGGUUUUUGAUCUGUCUCCUAAUGACAAAUGGAGUGACUAGGUGAGCCACUAGUGCCACAAGUUCCAAUGACCUGAGAAUUUUCUGCUUUCUAUCCUGUUGCAAGCAAUUCUUACUUUUGUGCAGAAAUUAAAAUGUUUACAUUGAUUUCUGGCAUGGUUCCUUAGUAACCUAAGCAGAGUACAGGAAAUGAAAAGCCUAACAAUUUACAUAAUGCUUUUUAUCACAUGGCCAAUUAAAACACAUACAACCGGGAAAUUAAUAUAAAAACAGAGAAAUCCCCUUAUCCUGGUAGGCAUCCCUAAUAUGACUGAUUAUGCUUUCUAAGGUUAAAUCCAGACACAUCAAUUAUGUGAGAAAAGAAUCUUUGGUUAUCAGGGAAGUCAAUCUCUGGUAAAUAACUUAGCUUUGAGUUUCCUGGUUAUACACAGCUUAUUAUUAAGAAAGGGUUAAUUUUCAGUGUGCUGAAGAGAAUAGGUUUCUACACUUUGGUUAGUAAUAUGGACUGAAGUUAAAUGUAAAAGCAUAAGGGAUUAAUUUUAUCUUUCAAGAUACCCAAUAAAAGUAGCAUGGUUUUAGAUUCAUAAUGACCUAACUUUUAGUUGUGGCUGGGUAUUUCGCUAGCUUGAAGUCAUAGGGAGUCAUUUUAACUUCUGUCAUCUAGCUUUCAUCCUCCUUAAAAUAAAGUUAAUGGUACCUACCUUACAGAACUGACAAGGGUUCAGGACAUUGUUGCUCCUUAAUAAAUGGUAAUUGUGUUAUCACAGAAAGGAAAUAGGAAAACAUUACUGAUUUCUUGUAUAAUUAAUUACAAAAUAGUGUAAUCUCUUAAUUUGAUGUAUAUCAUGAACUUAUUUAAUACAACAAGUGCAUGGAGUACUACUUAUUAUUUUAUACUACAAAAAAAAAAAAAA